rnacentral:rRNA from 1 species
GGUCCGGCUAAUUACGUGCCAGCAGCCGCGGUAAUACGUAAGGACCGAGCGUUGUCCGGAAUUAUUGGGCGUAAAGGGUACGUAGGCGGACUUGAAAGUUUGAUGUGAAAGCCCGGGGCUUAACCCCGGCGAGCGUUAAAAACUACAGGCCUUGAGUGGUAGAAGGGAUCGUGGAAUUCCUAGUGUAGCGGUGAAAUGCGUAGAGAUUAGGAAGAAUACCAGUGGCGAAAGCGACGAUCUGGAUACCAACUGACGCUGAGGUACGAAAGCGUGGGGAGCAAACAGGAUCAGAUACCCUGGUAGUCCACGCUGUAAACGAUGAGUGCAAGGUGUUGGGGGUCAAACCCCGGUGCCGCCGUUAACACAGUAAGCACUCCGCCUGGGGAGUACGUACGCA